UAAGAGCUCUUUUAUGUUCUUUGCAAGCUUUUCAAAAAAUGUAAUAUUUUAAGUUGAAAGAUGUGCUAUCUUCUAUCAUUUAUGUGUGUGCGUACAUAAUUUCCUACCGUUCCUAUAAAAAAUCACCACAAUUUGUGUGGCUUAAAACAGCACACAUGUACUAUCUUACAGUUCUGAAGGUUAGCUGUCUACAAUGGAUCGGCAAGGCUGAGCUCCUUCCAUAGGCUCUAGAGGAGAAUCUCUUUCCCUGCCUUUUCCAGCUUCUAGAGGCCACUUAUAUUCCCUGGCUGUGGUCAUUUCCUCACAACAGUAUGACCUCUGCUUCUGUUGCUGUUAUCUCCUCUUCCUCUGCCUCUAUUGUCAUAGCUCCUUCUUUGACUAUCACCCUCCUACCUCCCCCAUGUAAGAACCCUUGUGAUUCCAUUGGGACCACAUGAAUAAUCCAGGAAAAUCUUCUUAUCUCAAGAUCCUUAAGUUAUUCACAUCUGCAAAGACCCUUUUGCCAUGUGAGGUGACGUAUUCACAGGUUUCAGUUAUUAGGACAUUGUCAUUGGUUGAGUGGUGGUUCCCCCCAGACACAUAUCAGUGAAUGUGAUCUUAUUUGGAAAAAGGGUAUUUGCAGAUGUAAUUAAGAAUUUUCAUUUAUGAGAUUUUCCUGAAUUAUCAAGGUGGGCCCUAAAUCCAGUAACAGCUAAGUGUCCUUAUGAGAGAAAGAAGAAGAGACGGCGUGGACACAGACGGAGGAGAAGGGCAUGUAAAGACUGAGGCAGAGACUGGAGUGAUGCCGCAAGGAACGCUGGGAACCGCCAGAAGCAGGAAGAGGCGAGGCAGUCUCCUCCCUUGGUGUCUCCAGAGUCAAUGCGGCCCUCCCGGUGUCCUGAUUUCAGACUUCUGGCCUCCAAAACAAGUUCUCUGCGUCAGGCAACACAUGGAGUAAUUCAGAUAUGGUCCCUACCCUCAAGGGGACUAUAUAAAGACACAUGUCUAAGAUACUUGAAGUAAGAACAAGAAUGAAAUGACUUCAAAGACAUUGUCUGAGACCAGCUCCCCAAGAAUCAAAGAAAACCUGCUGGUAUUAGUGCUGGCAGUGCUGACAGAUGGUUUUUGUUGAAUGAAUCAGAAGCUGCAGCUACAUUUGCCAGAAAAGGGAAGUAUUAUAUAAGGUCUGUACAACCCACUGAAGUAAUUAAUAAUCACAUAACAAUUGGUUGUGGAUUUGCCCUUUCUUCAGCCAGGUUUGGGCUGAUAAUAUUAUCUUAUCCUUUCCAGGUCUUAGCUUGUUCACAGGAGAGGUUUGCCACAUAACUAAAGGCAUGAUCCAAAACCUCCCUUGGGCGAGAGCUACCUGGAUCCUGUUUGUUGUCCUGUGUGAAUAUUGGGAAAAUAAAAUUCCAUUUUCUCCAAUGAAAAGAAACACCUGCCUUUCUAAUCAGCAGGAACAUUUUAGUCAGGAUUGAUGCACACCAGUUGGGAAAUUGUUUAUAGAUUCGUGUUGGCAACAUGUUCUCUUUCGAUGCCUUGACAGAUGAAAGAGGCACCUCAAGACCUUUAAUCUCACCUAUGGCAGUAAGUGCUCACUGAAGCAGGUUUGUUAUGUCUAUAAUAGGAUUCUGACCACAAACCAAAGAAGAAACAUCCAGAUCUUACGUUAAUGCUUAAACCAGUCCUUCUCAGGUAUCCUUGAAUCUGUUGUGGGAAUAGUUUUGUAGAACAUCAGAAGAUACAAGACCCCCAAGCCAGAAUUCUUAUGGUUCCAAUACAAUUAUUUCCAAUUCUUGCUCUUAUUUUAUGGUACACUUUCUUUGCCAGACUCAUAAGAUGAACGCAGAGAAAAAAAAAUGGUUAUCAACAGAAUUUCUUCCCCUUAAUAUAUUUUGCAUGAGACCAAUAGUCAACAUUUUCCUGGCUUGUUACAUUCAUCAUCAAACCAUCCUUUAUAAGGAGUUUUAGAUUUUU